rnacentral:rRNA from 1 species
GGACCAUCAUGUCGGUCGUGCCUCGGUACGUACUGGUAUUGUUGGUUUCUCCCUUCUGACGAACCAUGAUGUCAUUUAUUUGGUGUUGUGGGAAAUCAGGACUUUUACCUUGAAAAAAUUAGAGUGUUUAAAGCAAGCUUACGCUUGAAUACAUUAGCAUGGAAUAAUGAAAUAGGACAUCAGAUUCUAUUUUGUUGGUUUCUAGGAUCGAUGUA